UUGUUUAUUGUUUAAACCUGAUUAUUUAUAGUCAACACACAUCUUUACAUACAAUAUUAUUAACGUACUUGAACUGCAUUUUUAUUGAUUUUGUCUUUUAUGCACACAUUCGGGCAAAAUGGUUUAAAAAGCACGACUGUUCUCACCAGUCGGUCCAGGUUGGUGCCUGCAGCUGUGGUGGGUUUUUCCUCUGGGGUGUAGGUGCGGAAAGGCCUCCUGUUGCCACCCGGCUCUUUGGGGGAGCGCUUGGACCGUCCUUGAAGAGUUCUGGGGUUUCCACAACCUUGGAACACCUACAAGAACAACAUUGAAUUCAGACCCACAGUCUGUCGGCAAAAGUUUGGUCGGACAAACAAUCUACUAAAUCUGAGGUGGUGUUUUUUCUGCCUUCAGCCAAACCGCCUCACUUUGUCUUUCUUUCCCUUCAAGGAAAAAAGCCAAGCUGCGAAGGAAAGAACUCCCGGUUCCUUGAAGCGCUGCCACGUGUGAGAGCAGGACGUGGGUGCCUCUCAGACACUUUGACGGAAAUGGAGUCUGCCGCCAACUCCAUGUUGAAGGGCCCCUCCAACUUCUCUGCAACCUGGUAGAGGGCGUCUGAUGGGAGACAGAGCGGGCGCUUUCUCUCCGCUGCGGGCGUGCCUCCUCGCGCCUUCAGACAAUCUGCAAUCUGCACACCUGCCCGUGAUGAGCGAGCUGCCUUCAUAAGCCUGCUCAACCUGCCAUCCCGCGCCGGAAUAUAGUCUUCUGUGUACCUGCCCGCAGUGUUUUCCUUCCGUUGCCUUGGUUUCGAGCUGUGCGUCUCGCUCCCUUGGACUUCCCCCCCUCGAUCUCGACUGCCUUCCCGGGUCUCGACCCCCCUCGCAUGCACAUGGACUCUGACGCUUCUCUCUCGCCCCGGAUCACCUGCCUCCCCAUGGACUGCCUUGUUCCUUCGCUCUCAUCAACACUUGGUGACACACUGCAGCUAAUCUACACACAUAGUCACACACAUACGCUCUUG